UUGGAAAAGACCUGCCAUGAUGAACA
rnacentral:piRNA from 1 species